rnacentral:misc_RNA from 1 species
UCCGGCUUGUCACCGGCAGUUUCUUCAGAGUGCCCGGCCAAACCGCUGGCAACUGAAGAUGGGGGUUGCGCUCGUUGCGGGACUUAACCCAACAUCUCACGACACGAGCUGACGACAGCCAUGCAGCACCUGUGCUCCGGCCAGCCGAACUGAAGGAUGGGGUCUCCCCCACCCAUACCGGACAUGUCAAGGGCUGGUAAGGUUCUUCGCGUAGCUUCGAAUUAAACCACACGCUCCACCGCUUGUGCGGGCCCCCGUCAAUUUCUUUGAGUUUCAGUCUUGCGACCGUAGUUCCCAGGCGGAGUACUUAAUGCGUUAGCUUCGGCACUGAAGGGGUCAAUACCUCCAACACCUAGUACUCAUCGUUUACAGCUAGGACUAC